AGAGAAGUACCCAAGUGGCUCAAGGGGCUCCCCUGCUAAGGGAGUAGAUCGUUAACGCGGUGCGAGGGUUCGAAUCCCUUCUUCUCUG
rnacentral:tRNA from 3 species